UACGAAGGGGGCUAGCGUUGCUCGGAAUCACUGGGCGUAAAGCGCACGUAGGCGGCUUGUUAAGUCAGGGGUGAAAUCCUGGAGCUCAACUCCAGAACUGCCUUUGAUACUGGCGAGCUUGAGUUCGGGAGAGGUGAGUGGAACUGCGAGUGUAGAGGUGAAAUUCGUAGAUAUUCGCAAGAACACCAGUGGCGAAGGCGGCUCACUGGCCCGAUACUGACGCUGACGGUGCGAAAGCGUGGGGAGCAAACAGGG
rnacentral:rRNA from 1 species